rnacentral:rRNA from 1 species
UACAGAGGUCUCAAGCGUUGUUCGGAUUCAUUGGGCGUAAAGGGUGCGUAGGCGGCGCGGUAAGUCGGGUGUGAAAUCUCGGAGCUUAACUCCGAAACUGCAUUCGAUACUGCCGUGCUUGAGGACUGGAGAGGAGACUGGAAUUCUUGGUGUAGCAGUGAAAUGCGUAGAUAUCAAGAGGAACACCAGUGGCGAAGGCGAGUCUCUGGACAACACCUGACACUGAGGCACGAAAGCUAGGGGAGCAAACAGG